AAGUGUUUGUAAGACUCCUUUAUUUCAUACACUGCAAAUAACUCUCAUCCCUUUCAGCUUAUCUAUGGAACUGUUUGAGGCGGAAAAAAACAUUUCAUAAAAUAAACCAAGAGGCAAGUGUCAACCAAAAAUGAGUGCAUGUUGACACGACUCUCGUAAGUUUACCCACCCCAUUCUCUCUAUGAUUAAUUAAUAUUACAAAAUUUUAAAAAAAUAUUUUUUUUGACAAAAAAAUUGAAUGGGAAGAGAUCUGGAAGACUAGAAGAAUGCAGUGUGAGAUGACAUAGCAAUACAUGAAC